UACGGGGGGGGCAAGCGUUGUUCGGAAUUACUGGGCGUAAAGCGCGCGUAGGCGGACCUGCAAGUCGGGGGUGAAAGCCCGAGGCUCAACCUCGGAACUGCCUUCGAUACUGCGGUCUCGAGUCCGGGAGAGGUGAGUGGAAGUUCCUAGUGUAGAGGUGAAAUUCGUAGAUAUUAGGAAGAACACCAGUGGCGAAGGCGGCUACACUGGUCCC
rnacentral:rRNA from 1 species